rnacentral:rRNA from 1 species
CGGACGGGUGAGUAAUGUCUGGGAAACUGCCUGAUGAGGGGGAUAACUACUGAAACGGUAGCUAAUACCGCAUAACGUCGCAAGACCAAAGAGGGGACCUUCGGGCCUCUUGCCAUCGGAUGUGCCCAGAUGGGAUUAGCUAGUAGGUGGGGUAACGGCUCACCUAGGCGACGAUCCCUAGCUGGUCUGAGAGGAUGACCAGCCACACUGGAACUGAGACACGGUCCAG